rnacentral:pre_miRNA from 1 species
GUUGAGGGGAAUGUUGUCUGGUUCGAAACCAUUUUGCGAUUAUAUCCAUCUAUCGAAAGGAUUUCGGACCAGGCUUCAUUCCCCCCAAC